rnacentral:misc_RNA from 1 species
GAUGAAGAACGCAGCGAAAUGCGAUAAGUAAUGUGAAUUGCAGAAUUCCGUGAAUCAUCGAAUCUUUGAACGCACAUUGCGCCCCCUGGUAUUCCGGGGGGCAUGCCUGUCCGAGCGUCAUUGCAACCUUCAAGCGCGGCUUGUGUGUUGGGUCUCGUCCCCCGUGGACGGGCCCGAAAGGCAGUGGCGGCGUCCCGACAUGGUGCCCGAGCGUAUGGGAAUCCUCUUCCGCUCGAAUCGGCCCAUGCGGCGCUGGUAGUAACCAAAUUUUUUACCGGUUGACCUCGGAUCAGGUAGGGAUACCCGCUGAACUUAAGCAUAUCAAUAAGCGGAGGA